UUAAAAUAUCAAAACAAAUUUUAUUUUAAAUCUAAACCAAGUACACACAUAAAAUAUCUAAUAAAUGACUUCUUUUCUUCCAAAAAGAAACUCUCAUAUUUCAUUUGCAUUCCUAUACAAAAUACUUGCCAUUAAUACUUAUAUCCCAUACAAACGAUGCCAUAUAUGCUCAAUCUUUUGCCUCAAUACUGAUAUACACAAAAGAUGGAGUUGUGUAUAACAUGCAUCUUCUUCUAGUCAUGUGUUGAAACUCUCUGCCUAAACUUCCAAUUUGGACCCUUCAUUCUGUUUUAGGUGACUACGAACUCUCUUCAUGUACAUCAAGACAGCAAUAAUAGAAAGAAAGAAGCUGAAAAGAAGAACAAGAACCAGGAACAAGAUCUCACCAUGGCGUGCGAAUUUGGGGUCACUCAAGAAGAGUAACUCAUCAUUUUGAUGAGCAUUGUUACUUGGUACUAUAGAAGGUGAGAGAGGUAAAGGUUGAGAGGCCAUGUUGAAACUUCUGCUAUAUUAUUAUCUUGCUUUGUUUAUCAUGUGAAUGGGAUUUAAGGGUAAAGGUUCAUUAGAAACUGAAGGGAGUUCAAUUUUAUUACGUAAUUUUGGUCUUGGCUGUAUUAUUGAAACUGACGAGGGAAAGAGAGGGUUGAAAAAUGUGACAAAAUGGUUGGAAGCAGCCAAAUUGUUAUCUAAGAACAUAUGGUCCCAAAAUUAUAGUGCGUGUACUUGCUUUUGUGUGUGCCGUUCAUCAUGGAUAUAACUCAUGAAGCAUCUUCUCAAUUGUUAUUAUGAGCUAAUAACGGAGCGAUGGAGACGAUGCUAAACUAGAAGGAGAGGAUCGAACGGUUAAAUAUAACAAGACAUCUUGUGACUGUUUAAUUUUGACAAACC
rnacentral:lncRNA from 1 species